GUGCCAGCCGCCGCGGUAAGACAGAGGGUGCAAGCGUUGUUCGGAAUCAUUGGGCGUAAAGCGCGCGUAGGCGGCUUGGUAAGUCGAAUGUGAAAGCCCUGGGCUCAACCCAGGACGUGCAUUCGAAACUGCCCAGCUUGAGUCCUGGAGAGGGCGGUGGAAUUCCCAGUGUAGAGGUGAAAUUCGUAGAUAUUGGGAGGAACACCAGUGGCGAAGGCGACCGCCUGGACAGAGACUGACGCUGAGGCGCGAAAGCGUGGGUAGCAAACAGGAUUAGAAACCCUCGUAGUCC
rnacentral:rRNA from 1 species